AACAGGAUUAGAUACCCUGGUAGUCCACACCGUAAACGAUGAGUGCUAGGUGUUUGAGGGUUUCCGCCCUUAAGUGCCGCAGCUAACGCAUUAAGCACUCCGCCUGGGGAGUACGACCGCAAGGUUGAAACUCAAAGGAAUUGACGGGGAACCGCACAAGCGGUGGAGCAUGUGGUUUAAUUCGAAGCAACGCGAAGAACCUUACCAGGUCUUGACAUCCCUUGACAACUCCAGAGAUGGAGCGUUCCCUUCGGGGACAAGGUGACAGGUGGUGCAUGGUUGUCGUCAGCUCGUGUCGUGAGAUGUUGGGUUAAGUCCCGCAACGAGCGCAACCCUUAUUACUAGUUGCCAGCAUUCAGUUGGGCACUCUAGUGAGACUGCCGGUGACAAACCGGAGGAAGGUGGGGAUGACGUCAAAUCAUCAUGCCCCUUAUGACCUGGGCUACACACGUGCUACAAUGGCGUAUACAACGAGUUGCCAACCCGCGAGGGUGAGCUAAUCUCUUAAAGUACGUCUCAGUUCGGAUUGUAGGCUGCAACUCGCCUACAUGAAGUCGGAACCGCUAGUAAUCGCGGAUCAGCACGCCGCGGUGAAUACGUUCCCGGGUCUUGUACACACCGCCCGUCACACCAUGAGAGUUUGUAACACCCAAAGCCGGUGGGGUAACCUUUUAGGAGCCAGCCGUCUAAGGUGGGACAGAUGAUUAGGGUGAAGUCGUAACAAGGUAACC
rnacentral:rRNA from 1 species